GUCGAUGGUAGGUUAUGCGCCUACCAUGGUUGUAACGGGUAACGGGGAAUUAGGGUUCGAUUCCGGAGAGGGAGCCUGAGAAACGGCUACCACAUCUAAGGAAGGCAGCAGGCGCGCAAAUUACACAAUCCCAGUACGGGGAUGUAGUGACGAAAAAUAACAAUACGGGACUCUAUUGAGGCCCCGUAAUUGGAAUGAGUACAAUUUAAAUCCUUUAACGAGGAUCUAUUGGAGGGCAAGUCUGGUGCCAGCAGCCGCGGUAAUUCCAGCUCCAAUAGCGUAUAUUAAAGUUGCUGCGGUUAAAAAGCUCGUAGUUGGAUUUCAGUCGAACCUAUGGGGUCCACUGAUUAAAGGGUUAGAUGGUGAUGUUAGGUUUCUUGCUUGUGUCUACGGAUGCUUGCUUGAACCUUCAUUCCUCUUUCCUGGUGGUUACAUUCAUAGUGUUUAGACAGAAAAUUGCUCGAUAUUUGCUAUCAAUGCUCUUUACCGAGUGUUGAUUCAAGCGAUCGAGACUUUUACCUUGAAAAAAUCAGAGUGCUCAAAGCAGGCGUCCAAAACCUCGAAAGAGGUGCCUAAAAACGGUAUGGUCAACCAUCUAUAUGAUGCGUACCACUACCUUAACUUGAAUGAUCUUGCAUGGAAUAAUGGAAUAGGACCUUGGUUCUAUUUUGUUGGUCUUAAGAAUCCAAGGUAAUGAUUAAGAGGGACAGACGGGGGCAUUUGUAUUGCGGCGCUAGAGGUGAAAUUCUUGGACCGUCGCAAGACAAACUACAGCGAAAGCAUUUGCCAAGAAUGUUUUCAUUAAUCAAGAACGAAAGUUAGAGGUUCGAAGGCGAUCAGAUACCGCCCUAGUUCUAACCAUAAACGAUGCCAACCAGCGAUCAUUCUGAGUAACUAAUUUCAUGACUCGAAUGGAAGCUUCCGGGAAACCAAAGUUUUUGGGUUCCGGGGGAAGUAUGGUUGCAAAGCUGAAACUUAAAGGAAUUGACCGGAAGGGCACCACCAGGAGUGGAGCCUGCGGCUUAAUUUGACUCAACACGGGGAAACUUACCAGGUCCAGACAUAGUAAGGAUUGACACUGACGCAAAAGGCACUUUAGCAUACAUGGACCCUGAGUUCAUUCACACAGGAGUGCUUACUGUAAAGUCAGAUGUUUAUUCUUUUGGAAUCAUAUUAUUACAAUUGUUGACUGGGAAACCAGCCUUUGGGAUAAAAAAGGGAGUGCAAAAUGCAUUAGAUGCUAGAAAUUUGAAAGCCCUAUUGGAUCCUUCGGCUGGAGAUUGGCCAUUUGUGGAGGCUGAACAAUUGGUUCGAUUGGCGUUGAGGUGUUGCGAAUUUAUCAUCAUCACCUUUCAACCCUUCAAACAUGCCUUCUUUGUUUGGGCCUCCACCUGUUCCGCCCAGACCACAGCCACUAACACAAGUUUUACAGCAUCCUUACAUGGCUCAGACAAGUCCUUUAGGUCAUCUUGGCCCACUGAGAAAUCCUUCCAUGCCGGCUUUACAGCCGUCAUCAGCUCAACCUAAU
rnacentral:rRNA from 1 species